CACAUUCUUAGGUGAUGCUUACAGUUCAGUAGUUCUGUUUUGUUGUUUCCACUCUCUGUUUUCACUUCCUGUCAGUGGGUCAUGGCUACGUAUGAUUUCUCACGGCUUUCGGCCGCAGCGUCGUCUUUGUGGCGCAGUUUGUGAAUGUAUGCGAUUGGGGAUGGCGUAAUCUAAUCCCAGUCACUUGUGUCGUUCAAAUGUCACAUUGUGGUCUGUGAGGACUCAGCCAGUAAUGGUGGUCCUUCGCAAUCGAAGUCGCGCAAUCCCGUGUGUACAACACUGUGCUCUGUAUCCAUGCGCUGGAAGUUGAAUGGUGGAUUGCCAGAGUGGUUGGGCGAGUGGGCAGUUAGGCAGGCGCACAUGUCUGGAUUAACAAUCAAUCAUUGGCCCCACAUGUAUUGAUGUUUGUUUUAGGGGCGGAUUUGGGAGUAGAGUGUCGAGGCAGUGAUGAUCGAAAUACCAGUAUAAGUCAGUUCUGCUACUGAGAACAUGUGAUUGAGAAACUGGUGACGAACUGAGCUUGGGAGUUGCUAUGUAGGUGAAGUGCGAGGGGUGUUUCGCGGCGAUGACAAGAAAAUUUCGUCAAGCUCAACAGACUUGAUACGGGGACAGAAAUAUACUUUCGCAUCCCAUAUGAUAGUUAACCCGCUGAUCUGAGCGAACACCUGGUUGGAUGGGGAGACCGAGAGGGGGGGAAGGCGGGGGUUAGUGACGAAGAAUCCUAGGCUCGUUUCUCAAACAUUCGCAGUGGCCGCCUAAAGCUUUGGUCUCGCGGGACUAGAGAGCUAAUGCAGCUUUCAAACCUUCCUUGGAUAUCUGAGACUACUGAGGUUAUGGCCUCGCUUGUACCUACGAGUAGAUCCUUGAGCUUCGUUAUGUAAAGAUGGUGUCUCGGCUGGUAAUGUGUACCUCAAAAUUAAUUUCUAGGUGUUGUCCCGUGGAAUUGUUGAGAAUUAGAAAGCAUAGAUUCUCAGGUUCAGCAUUUAACUUACCGUGCCUAGAUAAUCGUCCCAGAAGUUGCAGGCCUGAAAGCGAAAAUUCCUGUUGGGUGUUGGGGUUUGGUUGGUUGUUUAGUUGCUUAUUUCUAAGGUUGUGAUCAAGGGACGAUCGUGUCUGACAAUGUUAACUUAAUAAGCCUGCUCUUUGGGUUUCCAUAACGCUGCCAUUCAAUCUGUUUGAUGCUAGAGUAUUUAUCCGUUUCUAAUUGAUUUGUCUAACCAAACCCUCUUAUGAACUGCGUGUUUGACGAGCACGUAAGGUCAAAUGAACAUUUUUGAGUGACUGAAUUUCAGUGCGUGGUCCCACCUCUAGACAUGACGGGGGUAGUAUGCUUGGCGGGGUGCUACUCCAGCAAUUUGGAGCGGCUUUUGCACAUGUGGCCGUAGAGUCCUUUUGCUAACGUCAAAGAUCAACUAGUUCAGACGAUAAUGUCCUUGUGCCUUCGCGUGCAGGGCUCUUUUCAGUGAACAUGAGGUUGCAUAUUCCAUUGCCCAAGGGAGCAGCGUCGCUGCUAUUACUCUGUGGGACAGACCAUGCUACUGCCAGGCUUUUACUUCGUUUUCUUGUUUAGUGAGUGUGAUAGUUGCAGCUGUCGGGAAGAAUUCAGAUUACCAGGUUUUACAUGUUAACGACUUCGUGUUGUGCCAAGACUUGAUUGAUUAGAUGGCUCUGGGGUGUAGAAUGUUUAACUUGUACAAGAUGCAGAGGUGAUUUAUACUCGUAUUACCUGAUCUUUCGUCAGGUGAAGGCAGAGUGUAAUUAUCAUUCGUAGGGAUUAAGCCUCUGCCAGUCUGGUGGCAAUUGGUUCAAUCCAGGGUGCCUCUGUUUAGUUGCAGGGUGAGCAUUAUAGUUGUUUUGUCAAGGCAUUAGGAAUAAUGCUACGUUAAUUGGGAGGUUUUAAAUCUGAAUCAAUGGUGGGGCAGUUUGUCAAUGUAUGCGAUUGGGAGUGUCGGAGCAGUGAUGAUCGAAAUACCAGUAUAAGCCAGUUCUGCUACUGAGAACAUGUGAAUGAGAAACUGGUGACGAACUGAGCUUGGGAGUUGCUAUGCAGGGUAAGUGCGAGGUAUGUUUCGCGGUGAUGACAAGAAACUUUUGUCAAGCUCAACAGACUUGAUACGGGGACAGAAAUAUACUUUCGCAUCCCAUAUGAUAGUUAACCCGCUGAUCUGAGCGAACACCUGGUUGAAUGGGGAGAACGAGAAGGGGGAAAGUGGGGGUCGGUGAUGAAGAAUUCUAGGCUUGUGUCUCAAACAUUCGCAGUGGCCGCCUAAAGCUUUUGUCUUGCGGGACUAGAGAGCUAAUUCAGCUUUCAAACCUUCCUUGGAUAUCUGAGACCGUAGAGACGACGUUACAUUUAAGUAGCAGAACGCUAAAUCUUUAUUAAUUCAGACUUAUUUUAUCAAAGAAAGGAAUGCUGUCAAUGAGCAUUGAAUUAAAACUAAACAUAUUCCUGGAACUCAACAGGUGACCAAGACCAGGUUUGAAUUAACUCAAGUCAGUAAUGGCUUUAACUCUCGGACUUAUGAAAGUUCAAACUCAUACGAAGGGAUGUAGUAAUCUAUCGUCAAGACCGAAAUCUCAGGAUUCGAGAUCAAGUAACAUCACAAAUUUCAAAUUCCAAGCUUACCUAAAUCGGCAUGAACUGAAUCCUUGGAACAUUGGAGAAAGAGUUUCUCAAACCACCAAAUUACUCACAUUCAUUCAGAAUGACCACCGAUUAUCGUCUCUUAAUUUGGAACGAUUACAUAUACAUUAAAAGAAUUAUGUGUGUAACAUAAAUAACAUAUUUGUGUAUAAAUUUGGAACAAUUACACAUACAUGUUACUCUUAACUUUCC
rnacentral:lncRNA from 1 species